rnacentral:rRNA from 1 species
GAUGAACGCUGGCGGCGUGCCUAAUACAUGCAAGUCGAGCGAACGGACGAGAAGCUUGCUUUUCUGAUGUUAGCGGCGGACGGGUGAGUAACACGUGGAUAACCUACCUAUAAGACUGGGAUAACUUCGGGAAACCGGAGCUAAUACCGUAUAAUAUUUUGAACCGCAUGGUUCAAAAGUGAAAGACGGUCGUGCUGUCACUUAUAGAUGGAUCCGCGCUGCAUUAGCUAGUUGGUAAGGUAACGGCUUACCAAGGCAACGAUGCAUAGCCGACCUGAGAGGGUGAUCGGCCACACUGGAACUGAGACACGGUCCAGACUCCUACGGGAGGCAGCAGUAGGGAAUCUUCCGCAAUGGGCGAAAGCCUUACGGAGCAACGCCGCGUGAGUGAUGAAGGUCUUCGGAUCGUAAAACUCUGUUAUUAGGGAAGAACAUAUGUGUAAGUAACUGUGCACAUCUUGACGGUACCUAAUCAGAAAGCCACGGCUAACUACGUG